rnacentral:rRNA from 1 species
GACGGGGGGGGCAAGCGUUGUUCGGAAUUACUGGGCGUAAAGCGCGCGUAGGCGGCUUUGCAAGUCAGAGGUGAAAGCCCGGGGCUCAACCCCGGAAUUGCCUUUGAGACUGCAUCGCUAGAAUUGUGGAGAGGUAAGUGGAAUUCCGAGUGUAGAGGUGAAAUUCGUAGAUAUUCGGAAGAACACCAGUGGCGAAGGCGACUUACUGGACACAUAUUGACGCUGAGGUGCGAAAGCGUGGGGAGCAAACAGG